rnacentral:rRNA from 1 species
AGGUCUCUGGGCCAAUACUGACACUGAGGAGCGAAAGCGUGGGGAGCGAACAGGAUUAGAUACCCUGGUAGUCCACGCCGUAAACGGUGGGCGCUAGUUGUGCGAACCUUCCACGGUUUGUGCGACGCAGCUAACGCAUUAAGCGCCCCGCCUGGGGAGUACGAUCGCAAGAUUAAAACUCAAAGGAAUUGACGGGGCCCCGCACAAGCAGCGGAGCAUGCGGCUUAAUUCGACGCAACGCGAAGAACCUUACCAAGGCUUGACAUAUACAGGAAUACGGCAGAGAUGUCGUAGCCGCAAGGUCUGUAUACAGGUGGUGCAUGGUUGUCGUCAGCUCGUGUCGUGAGAUGUUGGGUUAAGUCCCGCAACGAGCGCAACCCUCGUUCUGUGUUGCCAGCAUUUAGUUGGGGACUCACAGGAGACUGCCGGGGUUAACUCGGAGGAAGGUGGGGAUGACGUCAAAUCAUCAUGCCCCUUAUGUCUUGGGCUGCACGCAUGCUACAAUGGCUGGUACAAACGGCUGCAAUACCGCAAGGUGGAGCGAAUCCGAGAAAGCCAGUCUCAGUUCGGAUUGGGGUCUGCAACUCGACCCCAUGAAGUCGGAGUUGCUAGUAAUCGUAGAUCAGCAACGCUACGGUGAAUACGUUCCCGGGGCUUGUACACACCGCCCGUCACAUCACGAAAGUCGGUAACACCCAAAGUCAGUGCCCAAC